AUGAACGUGAGUAGUGCACUAGAGAACAACGGGGAGCAGAACGUGCGUGGUGUACUAGUGUGCAGAACAAGGCAUCUCUGGCCCCCGUCCCUGUCCUCCAACCCGCGACGCAACAAUAGGAAAACGAGCAAGCCACGUUCACAUACACACAUGGCGAUAGCUCUGGUUCCUGGUUGUCUGUCGUCUUGUCUGAGCCACCCAACGAUCGGUCGAGAGGGGGAACGAGAAGAGUUUUACUCGUCGGUAACAGCAGACACUGAUCGAUCGAUCGAUCGAUCGAUCGAUCGAAGGAACCAAGAAGAGUUCUGCUCGCAAUCCCAAGUAGCCCGAGAUUUCUCGGUGCUACAUAUAGUAGGCCGCCGAGCUAGACGCUCGUAG
rnacentral:rRNA from 1 species